rnacentral:rRNA from 1 species
GUGCCAGCAGCCGCGGUAAGACGGAGGGAGCAAGCGUUGUCCGGAAUUACUGGGCGUAAAGAGCUCGUAGGCGGGAAUUUAAGUCUGGGAGUAAAUCCGACGGCUCAACUGUCGGGUCAUUCUGGAUACUGGAUUUCUUGAGGACAGAAGAGGAAAGCGGAAUUCCUGGUGUAGCGGUGAAAUGCGUAGAUAUCAGGAGGAACACCGGUGGCGAAGGCGGCUUUCUGGUCUGGUCCUGACGCUGAGGAGC